rnacentral:tRNA from 1 species
GCCCUGGUGGCACAGUCGUUAAAGUGCUUGGCUGCUAACCAAAAGGUCUGUGGUUCGAACCCACCAGGUGCA